UAUAUGUUAUAUCUGAUAAUUGACUAUAAGUAAAUAUAAUAAAAUUCUCAAAAAUAAAAUAUAUUUCUAAGACAUAAGAUAAUUCUUAAAUAUGUUGUGUUUUUAUCUGAAAUAAUAUUUUUUAUUAUAAAAUAUAAAAUAUAAAGUUUAAUUUUUGAUUUAUCUUUUUAAAAAUAUAAUUAAUAAUUUAUUAUGUUGGUUUUGAUUUAAUAUUUAUAAAAAGAUAAAUACCUAUAAAAACACUAUGCCCGCAUGUGCAGACAGAACACCAAGUAAUAAAGUAUUCAAAAUUAUAAUUUUAAUUUGAUUACAAAAUUUUAUUUUUAAAUGAUUAUUAUUUAAUUAUGCAUUUUCUAUUUUAAAUUUUGUAAUUUUAUGAAUAAAAUUUUUAUUUUCAGAUAAGGAUACAACAUACAUAAAAUUCUUCUUUCGACUGGUGACCAUUCUGGAAACAAGAGGAACGAAUAAAAAAUGAACGUAGAGGAAUUGAAUUACAGGAAUGAAAAAGAAUGGUUGUUUCAUCCCAUAUUUAAUAAGGAAUUAAUUUGAUCUUUAUUUGUCUACAAAAGAAGGAAUGGUAGGGAAUGAGAAGGAAAAAUUAUUUCUUAUGAAUGGUAAUUUCUUUAAAGAAUGUUCGGAAAUGCAUUUGUUCCUUGUCGUUGUUUACAUAGGUUUAUGUUAAUGUUAAUUCUAUAAUAGGUUAUACAUAUAUAAGAUUCAUUAAAGGUAACAAUCACUUUUAGUUUUAAAAUAACUUUUAAAGCCCGAGUUUAUAGCGAAAUAAAUAAUCAUCCGCACAUUAAUGAAUAAGAUGAGACGCAAAGAACCCUAGAGUUAUAGAUUCCCAUUAGUCAUCCACCAUUGCCGCCACCUCCGUUCUGGCCAUGGCGUCACCGUCUCCAUCUUCAACCACCGUCGCCAGUAAAAGAACUAAAACUAAGAGUGAGGAAGAGGCAAUGAAUACGAGUAUCUUAGAUCUUCCAUCCAUUCUCUUGGAAGUAAUAAUGUCUCGUCUUGUCUUAAAAGACAACAUAUGUGCAUCAGCUGUUUGCAAGUCAUGGUGUGAAGCUGCACUUUCUACUAGAGGAAAAGCAUCCUUGGCUUCUGUGCUUUGAUAAUCGUUGCAGUUUGUUUGAACUACGUGAUCCGGUACGAUCGAAAUUGUACACUUUGCAUCUGCAAGAGCUCGCUGAAUUAGCCGUGUGUUACAUAAAAGACGGUUGGUUACUUAUGUACACUUCUAGCUCCAAGGACAUGUUUUUCUUCAACCCGUUUUCUCGGGAGCUCGUAAGCUUGCCUAAGUUCUCGUUGCCAUUCCAGGCAGUCGCGUUCUCUAGUCCUCCAACAUCGGAUAAUUGUGUGUUGGUAGCGUUAGACUUUGUUACAUCAGUUCAAGAGAGAAGGAUAGUUAUCAGCACAUGCCAUCUUGGAGCAACUGAGUGGACCACCGAGGCCUUUCCUACUGUUUUGCCGUUUUAUAGGCAUAGCAAAAUUGUCUAUCUCAAUGAACAAUUUUAUUGCUUUACCAGAGGAGGAGGCUACUUGUAUUCCUUUCACCCAUCUUCCCGGACAUGGGUUUGUCAUCAAGAUGCAUAUGUGUAUCAUCAACUACGAGGUGAAUGGGACAAGAGAGAAAUUUUCUUGGCAGAGAGAAAAGGAGAGCUCUUUCUCAUGUUUGCAUGCAGUAAUUAAGGAGAAGCCACUAGUGUUUAAACUAGGCUCUUUGCAAUGGGAGGAGGUGACUAGUAAUGAGCUUGAUGGUUUCACAACCUUCUUCAGUUCUUAUAACUCUGAGUUGAGAAGUAAUAUCCCAUUGAUGAGGAACAACCUCUGCUUCCCAUGGUUUGGUGACAAGCGCAAGCGUUGUGUAUCCUACUUUUUUGAUAAAAGCAGGUUUAAUCUGCCUAAUGCAAGUCUUAACUGGUUAGAACUUAUCCCUCGUCACAAGAGCCUCUGGAUUGUUCCGCCGAGUAACGUUUUUGACUAUUUGUGAGAGCUUUGCAAGAAGAUUGAUUAGUUUUAUCUCUUCAGAUAGACAAGUAGCCUUUAUUUCCCCACUACCAUUGUUUUUUAGUUUUAGCUUCUUCUAUUUCUGCUCCUAAGAGAACACUUGUGACAAUUUUAGCAAAAAAAAAAAGAAAAAAAAAGAACACUUGUGAUAAAUUUGAAAGUCGCACACUCUAUUGAAUAUAUUCAUAAUGACAAAAAGAAACAAGGAACAACAUGAAAUCAACAAAGACACUUUUUAAACAGUAAAAGAAAAACCUAACACAGCCUUGGUCGUUCCCAACAACCACCUCAUCGCUCAAGUUACAUAUCAAACGUCAUCGUUAGCACCGGGAAACCUCGGGACGAUAACAUCAAUCCCGACUCGUAUCCUCUCAAUCUCCGGCGAAUCAGACUCGGACUCGCGCUUCUUUAAAUCAAAGAUUUUGAAAGUUAACGUAUAAACAAUGUCAGAGUAAGAAGGGACUUGGAUCAUCUCAAGAAUCUGAAACACGUUGGCUUGUAUCUGCUCCCUAUCGCCACCGAUGAGCCAAUCUCUAUCGAACUCGUGGGUUUGACGAAGGAUUCGAGUUUCUAAAUUGCAGAAGUCUUCGUCUUCGUCUGAAUCAGAGUUUGGUUCGGGGGCUUGCCUGUAAACCAAUUCGAAAUCGAAGACAAAGGAGAAGUUAGGGUUUUUUAGGUUAUGUUGAGUGUCGGUGAAGACUGGGUCGAAGGAGAUGAAGGUGUCGGGUUCGUCGUCGCAGUACCCAUACCAAACCAUGAUUUGUUAUUGUAAGAAAGAUUUAUGAAUGCCAAAUUGGAUUCGUUGUUUAGGGACGAGAAUAGAGAGAGAGUUUAAAGAGAACAGAAAGAGUUGAACUCUGAAUCACUUGUUUAGAGGUCGAGAAGUAUACUCAUAUUUAUAUUAGGUUUUAUUUCCUCUUUUCCGUUUACGCGCUUUCCUUUUUUCCUUUUUAUUAUUAUAUCUUAGAUUUCCUUCUUUCUAAGUUCUGACUUUCCGCUUUCGCUUUUGAAUUGUCUAAUUAUAUUUUUUUUAUUAUUAUUAUCUUAGAUUUCCUUCUUUCUAAAGUUCUGACUUUCCGCUUUCGCUUUUGACUUGUCUAAUUAUAUUUAAUGAUUAGGGAUGUGUCCGUGCUACACGCGCAUUGUAUUAUAUUUGUGGUAUAAGCUUUGUAUUUUGAUUUGGAGAUAAUGGUAUUUGAAAAUACAAGCUAUUUGAUAUAAUUGGUAUCGGUGGUAAGUGCCAAUAGGAUUAAAUUAUGUUUUAUUGUAGUUUUUAUGUGUUUAUGGAUUUUAGGAUACUUGUUUUAUUUUGGUAUUUAGUUUGAUAGUAAAAGCUGUUUUGACUGACUGGUUCGAUAAAAGUAUAAUAAAUAGCUGAAAAAUUACCAGAUUUUUAUAUCAGAUUAUUUAAUAUAAAUUUUAUACUUAAUAUAUAUAUAUAUAUAUAUAUAUAUAUAUAUAUCUGAUUAUAUAAAGUUUGGUUCUUCAAAGUUGCUAAUUAACAUGAUCGCGACAUAUGGCAACUAUGUAUUUUAUGAUUGUGACAUAUGAUAAUCUAUCUCAUAAUUAAAAAUAUAUAUAAUUAGAUAUUAACAAAAACGAUUUAUUAAAAAGUAAUUAAAAUAUUAUUUAAUAGUAAUUUUCUUUUUUAAAAUCCUAAUCAAAAGAUAGUUGCAAAAUACUAUUUGAUACUCCCUCUGUUCCUAAAAGUACGAUGUUUUACAGAAUUUUGAUGUUCCAAUAUAUAAGAUGUUUUCAUU